GGCCGUGUGGCAAAAUGGUUACUGCGUUGCUUUCCGACGAUUCGUAUCUGUUAUCACGAGGCAGAGACUGUGGGUUCGAGUCCCACCAUGGUCG